CCUCCUGGGCUCUCUUUCUCUCUCUCAUUCUUUCUCUAAAGCUCUCUCUCUUUCUCCGUUGUUCACGGUCCCCUGAACAUAAAAUCUAAAACAGACUAUCCUUGAACACUAGAGUCCCUCCCCAACUUUGAACCGAGUUCCGAAAGUGGUCUCAUCUCCAUACUCGGCUUUGAACCCCACAUCCCCCAAAGAGGAAUGGGGUAGACUUUGUUUUGUUUGUUUUGUGGGGUGAAGGAGGAAGGACUUUAUUUAAAACAAAUAAACAAACAAAAAACUCCUUACCACUUUUUCCUCUUUAUUUAAAGAUUCUGGAAAACUUAAAAUAGCUUUAGAUUUCAAUCUUAACAUGAAUCAAAGCCGAGUCAGAGAAAUUUGGCCCUAUUUUAAUAGGGCUGGGGAAUGAGCUCCAGAGGUCAAUAAAGCCCUCCAAAAAUGAUGAAUGAUUGAGUACCUGUGAUGAUGAUAGUGAUUACUGGAGCAAUUAAACAGUUUGAUUAAAUGAGCCAUCAUAACAAUGAUGUCUGCGGGAAAUCAGCCCUCACAUAUAAAGAAAGAUAGUGUGUAGAAGGGCUGACAUAACGCCAGUGGGCAAUCCGAGGCUUUCCGAUAGCUAGAGUACUGUGGAAACGGAGGUAUUUUCCAAUACUCCUGAGGGGAAAGGGGGUGAUUAAGGGGGGAAAAAGUCACGCAAAUACUUUAUAGCAUUUUUGUGCCCUGCUUAUAAACAUAAGGACCCAGUUAAUAAUGAAGAGCAAAACUGAGGGCUUAGGUUUUUCUACCCCCGCCCUUCUUUUUUCCCUAGAAGAUCUCCAAGAUUAAGAACAGUGGCUCUGUGUUGUUGCUGACUUUACCCCGGACAUAUAAGAAGAGGAUACAGACUUUAUGCCCCAAAGGCUAACACUGAUGGGAUUUUGAUGAGCAUAAACCCUUGAACGACAGAUCCUAAUGGAGAUAGCCCAGGAUCCUGAACCCAAGAGCCUUGGGAAUAGCAUUGUACUUCCUCAUUCUUCCCCCCAACCCUUCUCCCCACCAAUCGCCAUCCCCACUUCCAGCUCAGUUACCACAGCCAUCACUGAGGAAAAAGAACAUUAAGAAGGCACCCUGGCAUCCUGGUAUUCCAGAGUCAAUGCAGCAUCAAUGACCCAAAAAACAAGAAGUGACUUCAGGACUCAGUUUGGUGAUAGCUGAGACAAGGAGUCAUCAACCAGUGAUGCUGCCUUUGGAUAUGAACUUGGUGGGACUAGAGUUAUAUGGGAAUUGAGCUAAGUUGGAGGCAAUUUCCCCAUAAAUACUGUGAUAACAAAGGGGAAGAUACACUACUGAGGUAUUAGGGAAAAUAUUUGUACUUUGUUCUUGUUAUAUCUUCAAAUAAAUGUCUGUUUGGUGGGGAAACGGGGGGGGGAAGAAGAUAAUUUGGAAAUUAAAAUAAAAAAUAAAAUAAAAUACAAGCUAAUUGAUGUUGUGAUUAAAUAAACCUGGAAUGUUAUUCAUUGGCAUUUAAUAUUAGGAGAAAUAUAGUCAGUUGGGGGUGGGGUUGAGCCAAUAGCAAUGGAGAAGAAAUACUCCAAAUACCUUGGGAUAUGCUAGAACUGUGAAGGAGUGGUGGAACUUAGGCUCUGAGAGAGUGGGCAAGAACAUCCUCACAGGUGUGAAGUCUCUUAGUUAUGACUCAGAAGGGACUAAACCAGAUCCUGUCACAAAGGAAAAAAGCCUAGAAUUUUUUUCCCCUAGGAAAGGCUUCCACAGAAUGAUGGCUAGGAUACUUACUUUUCUAAGGAAACUGCUUUAAAAGUCUCUGGCUUUGGACUAAAAGAGCAUGCCAAAGCCCAGUCUUCUUAUGAGGAAGAGGCAGCUCUAUAGCAAAGGAUUUCAGCUAAAGCCAGAAGCUGGAAACAGAAAAGCUUUAUAGAAAUGAGCCCAGUUAGGGUUGUGCCUGGCAGUUCCUGCUUGGAGAGUAUGUAUUCAGCUGAGUAGUGUCCAGUGGGACAGUGCCCACUUGAGGCUAUGUGAUAGGAAUGCAGCAUCCUGAAGAAACUACAUGUUCACUAGAGACCACCAGACAGCAGGUCCUGCAGAAACGUUCUGAUGACUUCAUUAGAAGACACCAGUGACAUCUGAGGCAUGAAGUUACUUUUCAUGUGUAUGAUCCACAUAUAUACCUCCUCCACCAUACUCUCUGGCCGUAUGUUUCAUCCAUGUGUACUCUUUGAUAUAUGCGCUCUUGCCAUACGUACUCUUUCUAUAUGUGCCUUUCUAUGUGUGUCCACUUUACUGAUAAGAUGUGUAUUUUGGGGGCAGUAUGCCCCAGGGUUAUUGGAAAAAACUUUGUUGUUACUAUUCUUCCUAUGCUAUAUCAUUGAAAGGUUUUACUUUGAA